rnacentral:rRNA from 1 species
AUUGAACGCUGGCGGCAGGCUUAACACAUGCAAGUCGAGCGGUAACAGAGAGAAGCUUGCUUCUCUGCUGACGAGCGGCGGACGGGUGAGUAAUGCCUAGGAAUCUGCCUAGUAGUGGGGGAUAACUUGCCGAAAGGUAAGCUAAUACCGCAUACGUCCUACGGGAGAAAGGAGGGGACCUUCGGGCCUUUCGCUAUUAGAUGAGCCUAGGUCGGAUUAGUUAGUUGGUGAGGUAAUGGCUCACCAAGACCGCGAUCCGUAACUGGUCUGAGAGGAUGAUCAGUCCCACUGGAACUGAGACACGGUCCAGACUCCUACGGGAGGCAGCAGUGGGGAAUAUUGGACAAUGGGGGGGACGCUGAUCCAGCCAUGCCGCGUGUGUGAAGAAGGUCUUAGGAUUGUAAAGCACUUUAAGUUGGGAGGAAGAGCAGUUAACUAAUAUUUGACUGUUUUGACGUUACCGACAGAAUAAGCACCGGUUAACGUCGUGCCAGCCGCCGCGGUAA